CAGAAAGUAGUUUAAAUAGAAUGCCAGUUUUGGGUAUUGGCGGUGGAGUUAGGUGCUUUCUUUCUGA
ensembl:Mt_tRNA